rnacentral:rRNA from 1 species
AAAUGAAUUGACGGGGACCCGCACAAGCAGUGGAGUAUGUGGUUUAAUUCGACGCAACGCGAAGAACCUUACCAGGGCUUGACAUCCCUCGCCAUCCCUAGAGAUAGGGAGUUCCCUUCGGGGACGAGGAGACAGGUGGUGCAUGGUUGUCGUCAGCUCGUGUCGUGAGAUGUUCGGUUAAGUCCGGCAACGAGCGCAACCCUUGUCGUUUGUUACUACCAUUGAGUUGAGGACUCAAACGAGACUGCCGUUAACAAAACGGAGGAAGGUGGGGACGACGUCAAAUCAUCAUGCCCCUUAUGUCCUGGGCUACACACGUACUACAAUGGCUACCACAGAGGGCAACUAAACCGUGAGGUGUCGUGAAUCCCUAAAGGUAGUCCCAGUUCGGAUUGAAGGCUGCAACUCGCCUUCAUGAAGUCGGAAUUGCUAGUAAUGGCAGGUCAGCAUACUGCCGUGAAUACGUUCCCGGGUCUUGUACACACCGCCCGU